AUUGAUUUUUCGAAUUAUUUGAAUAUUAAAGGCGUUAAGAACCUUUGGUGACCCCAACAGUUUAAAUUCUAUAAUAAGUAAGUAGUGAGCAGUGGUCGUUACAGACAAACGUUUACAUAAUCUGUCCCAGUCAAUGGGAUAAUUUAGGUCGCCAAGCAAUAGCCACAGCCACACUGUUUUGAAUAUGAUUCUAUGUUUAAAGCUGUUAACAUUUAUGCAUGUAAGAGACAUAGAUCAUUUUUUGAUAUAAAUAUACAAUCUAAACAAUAUACAAUGUAUCUUUAGUUUCACAGAUGAUAUCGGAUAUGUUCCUUAUGAACUUAACUACGAUACCCUUCCCUUUCCACGAAUGUGACCUACCGAAUUAGAAUAUUUACGGAAUUUUAACACAAGCAACACGACGGGUGCCACAUAUGGAGCAGAAUCUGCUAACCCUUCCGGAACACCUGAGAGCACCACCAGUUUGUGGUGGGGUUCGUGUUGCUUAGUCUUUAGUUUUCUAUGUUGUGUUUUCUGUACUAUUAUUUUUCUGUUUGUCUUUUUAUUUUUAGCCAUGACGUUGUCAGUUUAUUUUCUAUCUAUGAGUUUGACUCUCCCUCUGGUAUCUUUUGUCCCUCUUUUAGGUCGAACAACUUGGUUCUUGAAAAACUGGCAAAUUCGUUUUAUAUAGGACAGAUAAAAUUUAAACUCAGCAAGUAAACAGUAUUUAAAACAAAGAAUUGAAGACCAUGUGUGUAUUUUCGAAAGUAAAAGUAGUACGGAAUAAUUUGUUUUUGUUUUCUGAUGUAACAGAAUAAAAUUGUAAAAAUGACAAAAACAGAUAUUGACAUUGAUAUACAUAUAGUAAAUUACAGAAAACAAAUUUUAAGCUUGUGUUUUAAUUGUUAAACACAUACAUACCACUAUUAGAAACAUAAAUACCAUGGUACAAUAUAUUAUAAGUCUUUUCAUAUCUAUAUUAUAAAAUGAUUUCAUAAGUGAUCUAGAUCGUUCGGUUUUAAGUGGAGCUCAUAUGGUUACUGUCAAUGAGUAUGAUCGGUAUACAUUUUUUUUUUACAAAUAGUGAUCAAGCUAUAUCACUUACAUUAAUAAGAAACACACUUUAAUACACGUUACACCUUGAGCUUAUUUACCAUGUUUACCCAUUCAGAAAUACUUUAUUUUUAUACAUGUAAGAUAGAGAAUUACGUGAUAACAGUCAAACACUUGUGCAUGUUGUAAACAUAUGACUUUUUAAAAGAAAAAAAUGUUUUUUUAAUCGAAUGAUGUUAAUCACAACUUUCGCACUUUUGGCUAUUUCGAGCAGUUAGUUUUGUUGGUUGAUAAAGUCGGAGUGGCAGAAGGAGAAUCACCGUCCCUCAGCAGGAAAACUGAGAAUCCUUGUCAAUAGAUAUUGGGGUUCUGAUUGACAAUCUCAUUGUUGACAGACUAGUGAUAUAGUAGAAGUUCAGCUAUCAAAUGGUAAAAAUGUGAUUUGAAGGGCUUGUAAAUGGCCUCAUUAAAUGCAAUACCAACAGUCGUGCCUUAAUGUUAUUUUUUCUGCUAAAAGGAAGACAACUUCCUUUCGUUUGUGUACAGUUGUAGAAUAUUUUGAUUCUAAAACAAAAAAAUAAGUUGAACUUACCUUUUACUAGAUAAAGAACAAGAAGGAGACUUUAAAAGUAUAAUCGGGUUUUGUUUAUUAACUUUAUAUAUAUACUAGUCGCAUGCCCUGAGACCUGUUUACCUGUUUACUUCAGAAUGGAUCAGAGUACACAUGUAUGUAGUUGUUUACUACUUCGAGUAUUAAUGUAGGUCAAUACCCUUAUAUAUAUAGUUUUGAAAAGGUAUAAAUAGUUUCAUAUCCAAUCAGGUUAUUCUUCGGAAGUUUUCGGGAAGUUUCGGUACAUUUCUCGGUUUCGACGCAAUCAAAAUAGAUAAGUUCACAAAAAUUGCACAUUAUAAAUUAUAAUAUUCUACUAGAAGCUACAAAGAAUGGUUGUUACCGUUACUAUGUACAAGUAUACCUAGUAUAUUUUCGUGUUAAGUAUUAUCUUUAGGUCAUUAAUUUACACACCAUAACGAUUUAUCAUUAAUUUAUUUGAAUAGUCACAAUUUUUACCAUCAACAUAGGAUUUUUUCAGUCGUCAACUGUCGGGUUUUUUCUCUCUCUAAAAGAUCAAAAAACAAAU
rnacentral:lncRNA from 1 species